rnacentral:misc_RNA from 1 species
UACGUAGGGGGCAAGCGUUGUCCGGAAUUAUUGGGCGUAAAGGGCGCGCAGGCGGUCUCUUAAGUCUGAUGUGAAAACUCGAGGCUCACCCUUGAGCGGUCAUUGGAAACUGGGAGACUUGAGUGUAGGAGAGGAAAGUGGAAUUCCACGUGUAGCGGUGAAAUGCGUAGAGAUGUGGAGGAACACCAGUGGCGAAGGCGACUUUCUGGUCUACAACUGACGCUGAGGCGCGAAAGCAUGGGGAGCGAACAGG